UACGGAGGGGGCUAGCGUUGUUCGGAAUUACUGGGCGUAAAGCGCGCGUAGGCGGCUCAUCAAGUCGGGGGUGAAAUCCCGGGGCUCAACCCCGGAACGGCCUUCGAGACUGGUGGUCUUGAGUUCGAGAGAGGUGGGUGGAAUUCCGAGUGUAGAGGUGAAAUUCGUAGAUAUUCGGAGGAACACCAGUGGCGAAGGCGGCCCACUGGCUCGACACUGACGCUGAGGCGCGAAAGCGUGGGGAGCAAACAGG
rnacentral:rRNA from 1 species